CUUCCAUCCUUUGUGGCUCCCGUCCUUAUCCGCAGACCCAGGCCAGCACGCUUCUUCCUUGCCGUUACGCUCCUCCAGCGCCGCAUGAAGCUGAAGCCCCCACCGGCCACCGCGUUGUCCUACUGCUUCGCUCCGGCCGUGUAGCGCGAGGCCCCACCGCUCCUCUGCUGCUUCACUCCAAGCCUGCCGCGCGAGGCCCUCGCUGCCCUGCUCCAUCGCCAUCGUGUGCUGCUUCUCCACCGCCCUUCGCUAUUGCAGGUGCGCCUCCCCCUUCCUCAACGUUGUAGGGGCGCCGCUGCCUUCCCCGGCGCGCGCCAUCGACGAGCAAGGUCUGGGUUGGGGCAUUUUCGCCCAGUACGACAGGAGAUUGGGGUGAAGCCGCGGAAAGCCACAUUUUUCGGCUUCGCCCGUCCAGUGUAAGCCGUUUCGUAAUUUUUAUCUGGCUUCGUUGGUGAAGCCAUUUUGAGCGUACCCCUUUGGCAGGGCUUCACCGGAAGCCGAUGGUGAAGCCGGUGAAAAAGCCCUGCCAAAGAGGGCCUCAGUAUGAUCAUCGCGCAGUUCAAUAAUAGAACCAUCUUACAAGUACACUAAAACUUAGAAAGAGAAGACAAUACCUAGAGAGUUCAGAACAUUGCAAUUGAUAUCAAGGAUGCUCUGUACAACGUUAAGUGUUGUUUAGCUUAGUCUCGCUGGCCUAUGUUCCUGGGUAAAGACCAAAAUAGGCGUGUCCAGAAGAAAGAAAUUGGCUAGCCACCUAAUCCUAGUGUCCGCCGUACUCCAUGAGAUGCUUCCGUACCCCCCUAUCCUACAGAAAAUACAAUAUUCUUUCGUACCAUUUCAUCUGUUCUGCCACUCUGUCGCUAGUGUUGCUGGCUCACGAGGUCGAUAAAUUUUAUGUUUUUUUAUACUCUUUGUUAAGAGGUUCCUCGAUGUGAUCUUGUUGCGUGUGGGUCCCUUCUUGCAUUAUGUGAACAACUAACUGACAGUUGUUGAUCGAAACAGGCUGCAGAAACAGCAGAAUUCAUGGAAGAACUGCUAGCUGUCUGUGCUGCUGUUUGACUAAUUUUCAUCUAAAAAAAUGUUGAACACUUUCGACGAAGCUUCUCUGGUUACAUACAAGCUAGCUCCAAACAGAAAGAGUCAAUUGUACCACCGGUCCUCGAACUUGACUCGGUGUGCCAUUUAGAUUACCAAACUUCCAAAAUGCACAUCUAGAUCCUCAAACUUGUUAAUCGUAUCAUAUAAUGUACAAAUCACCAUUAAUUAAGUUAAAUCCCCUACAUGUCUGCUGAUGUGCAACUGACAUGCACCUCUCUUCAUCUUUUUUUGCUCCGGCCGGCUGAGCCCAUCCCCAUCAAGCCGAGUGCCGCCGUCACUGUCUGCGUGUGGGUACGCAGCCACAUCCCCGUGUCCGCCCCAACCGAGCCAGUCGCGUCCUGCCACCCCUGCCUGAGCCGAUCGCGCCCCACUGCCCCUCCUGCGGCCUUUGCACUGAGUGCUGUGCCGCCAGCCAUGGAGCACAUAGCAAGAUGCAGGUCUGGCGAGGAUGGUGGAUGCCGUUGGUCACCGCUUACCGGUCAGCAGACGGUGGAUGCCGUUGGUCACCGCUUACCGGUCAGCACCAUCUUUUGUUGGGGAAAAGGACUUCUGGAACAAACGACGGAAGCAAAGUGGCAACAUUGUGAGCUGGAGAGAGCGGAGGCGAAGUGGAGACUUCACGAGGCGAAGCCGGUAGGAGAAAAAUGGCAAUUCCCCGAGCUGGAGCGAGCAGGAGCAAAGUCGAGACUUCACAAGGCUACUUCAUGAGCAAGGUAGCCAGAGACAGCUCGGGCUGAAGCGUGGGGCACGGAGUCAAAAGGCGGCGUCAUCAAACUAGGCAACAACAAUGCGUCUAGGGAAAGGGUGAAGUGGCUGGGCCAUAUCGGAGCUGUGAGCUGGCAUGUCCUUAGCUGUAAAGUGAUGAGUUGUAAAGGGUGUGGUUAAAGUGGCGUAAUGUUACUAUAAUGCCCUCCAAUAUGCUUCACAUAAAGUGAAAAAGAAGGGUGAUGUAUUGUAACGUGUAAAAAUUAUGGUCCUAUAAAAUGGGGCCAUCGUGAAUGGAAAUGGACAUGUUACGACGGAGGGGUAGAUUUCUUAACCUCUCCCAAAGUCAUUUUCUUA